rnacentral:rRNA from 1 species
UACGUAGGUGUCGAGCGUUGUCCGGAUUUAUUGGGCGUAAAGAGCCCGCAGGCGGCUUGGCAAGUUUGAGGUGAAAUCUCCCGGCUUAACUGGGAGGGGGCCUCGAAAACUGCCAGGCUUGAGGCAUGGAGAGGGAUGCGGAAUUCCCGGUGUAGUGGUGAAAUGCGUAGAUAUCGGGAGGAACACCUGUGGCGAAAGCGGCUCACUGGACCAUAACUGACGCUGAUGCACGAAAGCUGGGGGAGCAAACAGG